rnacentral:lncRNA from 1 species
AAAAUUUUCUGUAAACUUUUCCUAGUUGUAUGGAGCAGUUUCUCAAUGUAUGGUCUGAUAGAGAGCUAUUAUAAGUAUCUACUCACUGGCAGAGUUGUGAAUAGAACAUAAACUUCUAACAUUUCCAGUCUCAUUUCCUAGAUUCAUUGGUUUUAUUUGUCUUAACAGAUUGCAACAAUGGAAGUCUUAGUUAAUCAUGAUGCCUGACAAAGAAAAUACAGACUAAAUAGUAGUUUUUAAAAAAAGUGUCUUUCAUAGCCAGUUCUUAUCUGAUUUUACUGAAACCGACUAUGUAAUUACAAAGGAACUAAGCCAUACUAUACAAACACAACUCAGUAAGAGAGGAAAGUAUCUAGUGCCUUCCUUUAAUACUAUCCCCCUCCCACCAUUUUGGAAAUAGCCUUAUGGAGCUGAGGGUCACCCAAGUGCCCUCUUGGAAUUCUCAGUUUUUCUCUUCCUUGCUUCAGCUGCUGUAUUUUGUAUGCCACAAAUUCUUGGAGGGAAAUAUAUGUUUUACUGACAUGUUUCCUACUAGCUUCAUGUUACAUAAAAAAAAAUGAAAAUAUAAUUAAGGGUUCGUGUUCUACACGUGCUUUACUUUGUCAUUACCUGAAAACAAGCUUUACCUUUGGAGUAUGGAUAAUAAUUUGACAAUUAUUUGGUCACAUGCUUUAAAUCUAAAAAAAAUUUGUAGCAAUUUUUCUUAUUUAUUUUUUACAGUCCGUAACUAUAACAGUGACAAAUUCCGACACGGCAAAUGACACUAUCAACAUGUUACUAACAAUGCUGGGAAUAACCGUAAGUUGCCUAUACUUCCAGCUGUGGGUGAGUUCUGGCAAGGAAAAACUUCCACUAACUGGUAAGUGUCAGGGAAAAUCUAAGAUGGGAUUGAUUAGGUUCAAAAUUGUAACUCAAAGUUUCAAAGUAAUGGUUGUUCUUUCUUAAGCUUCAAAAUCCUUAAAAGUGAAAAUCACAUGUUAUAUUCCCUCACAUGUUUAUUAAAUAAUUACCAGGUACUGUUUCCCAGGCAUUGAUAACAUCUCUUCAUUCAGCAGCUAUGAUUUAGUGAGGGAGAGAAAUGUAAAUUUUUGUUUCUACUUCUUGUUACCUGACAAACAGAGCUGUCUUGAAAAAGUGUGAUUAUUUACUAUUUACUUACUUAUUUACUCACUUAGGUAUGAAAGCAAAAUGGAUGGGAAUUUUUUUCCCAUACAUUUAUUUUUCAUAUUUCAAUCUUGAAUUCUAGUUCCUAACUACUAAGAAGCCUCUAUUUUGUGAGAAUCCUCUAAAAUCCAGUUAUGUCCCUGAAUCUGGUUACAGAUAUGUAUUUAACACCCCUGCCCUGUGCCCACUUUUCUCUGCAUCAUAAAGAAAAUGAGAUAAUCACAUUUAAACUCCU